rnacentral:lncRNA from 1 species
CCCCUUUUCCUUAUUGUUGGCAAGCGAAAAAGUGUCCAGCUUCUCAACAUUGAUUACAAGAUUACUUGUUGGAGGACCCGAAAUUUCAGCCCCAAUACCCUAACAAAGUUCUGUUAUAUUGAGAUACACGUUAAGCACAUAAAAAAUCUAAUAGGAAGUUGACCAAACCACUUAAGCUAGACAUUCUAUUAUUCUUGAAUCUUGAACUUGUAGGGCUGGUACCAUAUCCGUUCUUCCUACGUUUAUUUGCUUCUGUACUCUUUU